rnacentral:rRNA from 1 species
AGUGAACGCUGGCGGUAGGCCUAACACAUGCAAGUCGAACGGCAGCACAGGAGAGCUUGCUCUCUGGGUGGCGAGUGGCGGACGGGUGAGGAAUACAUCGGAAUCUACUCUGUCGUGGGGGAUAACGGAGGGAAACUUACGCUAAUACCGCAUACCACCUACGGGUGAAAGCAGGGGACCUUCGGGCCUUGCGCGAUUGAAUGAGCCGAUGUCGGAUUAGCUAGUUGGCGGGGUAAAGGCCCACCAAGGCGACGAUCCGUAGCUGGUCUGAGAGGAUGAUCAGCAACACUGGAACUGAGACACGGUCCAGACUCCUACGGGAGGCAGCAGUGGGGAAUAUUGGACAAUGGGCGCAAGCCUGAUCCAGCCAUACCGCGUGGGUGAAGAAGGCCUUCGGGUUGUAAAGCCCUUUUGUUGGGAAAGAAAUCCAGCUGGCCAAUACCCGGUUGGGAUGACGGUACCCAAAGAAUAAGCACCGGCUAACUUCGUGCCAGCCGCCGCAGUAA